rnacentral:pre_miRNA from 1 species
UGAGUAAUCCCUUCGUCCAACAAAAGAUAUCUCAAGUUUGUCAAAAUUUCGAUGUAUCUAGACAUGACUUAGUGUAUCGAUGCAUUCAAAAAAAUUCAAGGUUGAGACAUCCUUUUUUGGACGGAGGAAGUACACC